UGAGGAAUAUUGCACAAUGGGCGAAAGCCUGAUGCAGCGACGCCGCGUGGAGGAUGAAGGAUUUCGGUCUGUAAACUCCUGUCAGUAGGGAAGAGAAUGGACGGUACCUACUGAGGAAGCUUCGGCUAACUACGUGCCAGCAGCCGCGGUAAGACGUAGGAAGCAAGCGUUGUCCGGAAUUACUGGGCGUAAAGAGCUCGUAGGCGGGAUCGUAAGUCUUAGAGUAAAUCUCACGGCUCAACCGUGGGGCCUUCUAAGAUACUGCGAUUCUUGAGGAUGUCAGAGGAAAGUAGAAUUCCCGGUGUAGCGGUGAAAUGCGUAGAUAUCGGGAGGAAUACCAGUGGCGAAGGCGACUUUCUGGGACAUUCCUGACGCUGAGGAGCGAAAGCGUGGGGAGCAA
rnacentral:rRNA from 1 species